GAUGAACGCUGGCGACAGGCUUAACACAUGCAAGUCGAGGGGAAACGACGGGGAAGCUUGCUUCCCCGGGCGUCGACCGGCGCACGGGUGAGUAACGCGUAUCCAACCUGCCUCUGACUGAGGGAUAACCCGCCGAAAGUCGGCCUAAUACCUCAUGGCAUCUUCUGCGGGCGUCCAACGACGAUUAAAGAUUUCGGCGGUUAGGGAGGGGGAUGCGUCUGAUUAGCUAGUUGGCGGGGUAGCGGCUCACCAAGGCGACGACGGGUAGGGGGCCUGAGAGGGUGACCGGCCAAAUUGGGACUGAGAUACGGCCCAGACUCCUACGGGAGGCAGCAGUGGGGAAUAUUGCACAAUGGGCGGAAGCCUGAUGCAGCAACGCCGCGUGCGGGAUGACGGCCUUCGGGUUGUAAACCGCUUUCGCCUGUGACGAAGCGUGAGUGACGGUAAUGGGUAAAGAAGCACCGGCUAACUACGUG
rnacentral:rRNA from 1 species